AAUCAAGUGCCUUAAGGGUGUUCGGUGGAUGCCUUGGCGCUGAGAGGCGAUGAAGGACGUGCUACGCUGCGAUAAGCCGUGGGGAGCUGCGAAGAAGCUUUGAUCCGCGGAUUUCCGAAUGGGGAAACCCACCUUCGAUAGCCGGAACUCCAAGACCUUUGUCGAAAGACAUCGGUGUGGGGUUCGACCAGAUACCUGGAAGAAGCCAGGCCUUUAGAUUUCGAUCGAAGAGGUUUUGGAUUUCCGGUUAUCAAGAGAAGGUAUGAGACUUCUGAAU
rnacentral:rRNA from 1 species